UACAGGGGGUGCAACCGUUGCUCGGAAUCAUUGGGCGUAAAGCGCACGUAGGCGGUCUGUUAUGUCGGAUGUGAAAGCCCUCGGCUCAACUGAGGAAGUGCAUCCGAAACUGGCAGGCUAGAGUACUAAAGAGGGUCGCGGAAUUCCCGGUGUAGAGGUGAAAUUCGUAGAUAUCAGGAGGAACACCGAUGGCGAAGGCAGGUCUCUGGGCCACUACUGACGCUGAGAAGCGAAAGCAUGGGGAGCGAACAGG
rnacentral:rRNA from 1 species